rnacentral:rRNA from 1 species
UACGGAGGGUGCAAGCGUUAUCCGGAAUCAUUGGGCGUAAAGCGCGCGUAGGCGGCCCUGUAAGUCCGUUGUGAAAGUCAAAGGCUCAACCUUUGAAAGCCGAUGGAUACUGCAGGGCUAGAGUCCGGAAGAGGCGAGUGGAAUUCCUGGUGUAGCGGUGGAAUGCGCAGAUAUCAGGAGGAACCCCAAUAGCGAAGGGAGGUCGCUGGGACGGUACUGACGCUAAGGCGCGAAAGCGUGGGGAGCGAACAGG